CUGCAAUUUUGAGUGCCUCUUACAUGGGCUUCAUAAGGAAUAAAGACACUGCAUCUUUUGUACUUUCAACAAAAAUUGUCAGUGAGCAACAAUCUACUGAUAAACCUGUGAACAGAAAUCAUGCUGAAUAAGAAUGAGAAAUGGAGAAAUAAGAUAUCUGUCCUUUGGACAAUAAAUCUGGGUAUUAAAGGGAUGACGCUUUGUUGCAUUGAGGAGUUGGCAAUAGAUUUCUCUCUUUGAUUUCAUCUUAAUGGUUGCAGUUCUCUGAUGUUUUGGGAUGUGUCUCUGCCUUGGACCUCCUUCACAGAACAGGAUUGUUGCACUUGGGUUGAGUUCUUCCAAUAAGAGACAGGAGGCUGUAGGACCUGGAUAAGGAUGACAUAAAGGUAAUAAAUACUUGUAGCCUUGGAAAGUGGAGGUAUAG
rnacentral:lncRNA from 1 species